UACGUAGGGUGCGAGCGUUAAUCGGAAUUACUGGGCGUAAAGCGUGCGCAGGCGGUUUUGUAAGCCAGAUGUGAAAUCCCCGGGCUCAACCUGGGAAUGGCAUUUGGGACUGCAAGGCUGGAGUGCGGCAGAGGAGACUGGAAUUCCUGGUGUAGCAGUGAAAUGCGUAGAUAUCAGGAGGAAUACCGAUGGCGAAGGCAGGUCUCUGGGCUGACACUGACGCUCAUGCACGAAAGC
rnacentral:rRNA from 1 species